UAGCAGCACUUAGUACGUGAGUUGCAUCUAAUAACUUCAUUAAACAUAAAGCACUAAUUUAAGCAUAAAAGCCACAUGCAAUCUAACAUUUAUAAACAUUUAUGUUAUCUUUAAUUGGGAGUGAAACAGUAGAAUCCACCAAACUCUUGACAUGUUCUUGGCUGGGCACCCCGUCGGUUACGACGAAGAGUGCUCCAUUUGAUUCGACCAACGGAACAUUCUGAUCGUGAAAGUAACGUGCAAGUGGCUGAAUUAUCCACAGACAUGCGUACCCUUAACGUAAUUCUGAAGAAGAUUCAACAUGACAUACAAAAUGUGAGAAGAUUGGUCCUCAGAAUUACAGUUGUAAUUAAAGGAAGUGCAGCCAACCGUGCCAGAAUAUGUAUCACUAAUAGCUUGUAUCGAAGGGUGAAAGUCAAAGUUAAAGUCGAAUGGAUUUGAUCAUAGAAAGAGCCGAACAUAUACCAUAUUUUUUGUCCGACGGUCUUGCGAUUAAUACUCAACUCUGAUUACUUGUAGCUGCAGGGUAACGACAGAGCCAUCCUGCUACAAAAGAUAAGACGACUGGCCAUACUGACACCAGUUUUUGUAAGAAUCAGUGAAGUACCCAUUGAGAUAUUUAGUUAGAAAGAGAACAGGCCGAAAUCGUUUUGCGUCAACCUCAUCAUGUCUUCCCAACUGAGCAAUGUUGAGAGGGCUAAGAUAAUUCACUAAUGGUACCAACAUUCAUUUUCUAGCUACCAUCUUCAAUGUUCAUUCAAGAACUAUCAACAGAAUUCUGAAUACGUUUGAGAAAGAGAGAAUGGUAGAGAGGAAAACUGGAUCAGGAGGUGAUAACCACAAGAAGGGUUACCAUUUCAAUCUCAAGCUGAAGAGAUCAAUCAGAAGCAAUCCAACUCCAUCCCUAAGACGUACGGCAUGUUAAAGAGGAGUUUCAGCUAUGACAGUUCAAAGAGUGAUGACAGAAGUCUUGAAAAUGAAAUGGUACAUGAGACCUGUGUGACAUCUUGUCACUCCAGGACAAAAGGUUAGAGUGUUGGAGAGGGUGACGAUCAACUUGAACAAAGUGAAACACAUCCUAGAGUGAUCUUUUAGACGGAUGAGAAUUUCACCCAAGAUAUGCACACAAACAGACGUAACUGCCGCGUUCUGGCUUCAGCUCUUCACCUGCCAAGGUGAUCAUUUUCGCCUGCAUGGCCUUGGAUGGCAAGAUGUCAGUGAUCACGUUUGACAAAAUAAAAAACUCACUGGAGUUUGUUAUGUUCAGGUCUUGAAAGACGUAAAGACCUGGAUUCUUUCUGAAUAUCCAGAGACAAGAAACGAGGGAAAGGCCAGGAAGAUCGCCCAGGAUUUCAAGUCUACAUGCCAGCGAGAUGGAGCUCCUUACCACACAAGUAUAGUGACUCACAAAGUUCCCAGGGAUGAGUUUGUGAACAUGUUUGAGGAUAAGGAUACUUGGCCCCUUACAUUACCUGACGUGAACCCUUUAGACGUUGGCAUCUGGAGUGAAUUGGUCGGAAAAAGAUUGUGAGAAGACCCAGAGUAGUCUGCAAACCCUCAAAGACUCCAUUUGUAGGAUGUGAGAGGAAGACAUUGAUGAAGAAUUCAUUAAAAAAGCUGGUGGUGCAGUCAAGAAGAGGUUUGAGGAAGUCAUUGCUAAAAACGGAGCAACUUUGAUGCUUAACAGGCAGCAUUUCAGCCAAGCGCUCUCUGGGACUUUCAAAUAAAAUCGUAAACUUCCAUUCGAACUUUAUUCCAAUCAUUUAUGAGCUCCCAGUCCUGAACUAUGGUUAAUUAUUUAUGAAAAUGUCAUUUUCGCCAAUGAUCAAUUUCCUCAUGAUUCUUUUUGUGAGCUUCUGGAGAGUAAUGAACAUGUUGAUUUGCUCAAAUUAGGGUUAGAAAAACCCUCUGGUAAUUACAUUAAGUUAUCUUUAAGCAUUUCUGAGAUUCAGAAGUUCGAGGAUGAAUCUAAAAUUUGGACACUUUUGCUGAUUCACCCGGUAGAUACACCACAAACAUAUAGAUAUUUAAAUGAGAUACGUAGCUGUUUAUGUGUGUUGCGUCUCUAUUUGCAUCUAACCUGCCUUUCAUUGAUCUGUUACUGAAUAAAAUACUUUAAUAAACAAGACUUAAAAACAAGAACUCCGUAAAUUGGAAAUUAAUUAAUGGUUUCUAAUCGAUAUAUUUAAUUAAGUCAUAUUAACAAACAUACACACAAUCUUCAAAUUAGUCAUCAUAU